rnacentral:rRNA from 1 species
CAGUAGCCACGGUAAGACAGAGGAUGCAAGCGUUAUCCGGAAUGAUUGGGCGUAAAGCGCGCGCAGGUGGUUUAAUAAGUCUGAUGUGAAAGCCCACGGCUCAACCGUGGAGGGUCAUUGGAAACUGUUAAACUUGAGUGCAGGAGAGAAAAGUGGAAUUCCUAGUGUAGCGGUGAAAUGCGUAGAGAUUAGGAGGAACACCAGUGGCGAAGGCGGCUUUUUGGCCUGUAACUGACACUGAGGCGCGAAAGCGUGGGGAGCAAACAGGAUUAGAUACCCCCGUAGUCCCUGUCUCUUAUAC